UGGGGAAUAUUGCACAAUGGAGGGAACUCUGAUGCAGCGACGCCGCGUGAACGAAGAAGGCUUUCGAGUCGUAAAGUUCUUUUAUAUGGGAAGAUAAUGACGGUACCAUAAGAAAAAGCCCCGGCUAACUACGUGCCAGCAGCCGCGGUAUUACGUAGGGGGCUAGCGUUGUCCGGAAUCACUGGGCGUAAAGGGUUCGCAGGCGGAAAUGCAAGUCAGGUGUAAAAGGCAGUAGCUUAACUACUGUAAGCAUUUGAAACUGCAUAUCUUGAGAAGAGUAGAGGUAAGUGGAAUUUUUAGUGUAGCGGUGAAAUGCGUAGAUAUUAAAAAGAAUACCGGUGGCGAAGGCGACUUACUGGGCUCAUUCUGACGCUGAGGAACGAAAGCGUGGGUAGCAAACAGG
rnacentral:rRNA from 1 species